rnacentral:rRNA from 1 species
GGGUUUUCCUGGCGACAAUAUCGGCUGGUACUCGCGAUGCAUCUAGAUUUCCGUAGGUGAACCUGCGGAAGGAUCAUUA